UAAACAUAGGAAUGAGAUUAUUUAUGCUCAUCGAGCAUGAGGAAAGAAAAGAAAGUACCACUAUCCAUCCAUUCUGGCCAUAAAAAAUGCUCUGUCUCUGAUUCAUGUCACCCCUUUAAUAUCAAGGAAUUGUGUAAUAAUCUUCAACACAAGUCUAUGAUUGAUUUCUUAUACCAAUCAGCCUGUCAACUUCAGCAAGAGACCAUACAAGUGGAAAAGUAAGACAGUAAGUUGGAUUAAUCAAGCAGAGAAAGGAGUUGAAAGCCAUAGCUGGGUCUGCAAACUGAAGCCUUCUCUAAAUUCUCAGAAAUUCUGGAAGAAAAUGUUGGAAAUUCCUCAGGAAAUGGAAAGUUUCUCUUGCUGCCAUGAUGUAAGAAGUGCCUUUCACCUCUCACCAUGAUUCUGAGCCCUCCCCAGCCAUGUGGAACUGAAACUUUUGCCCCUAGAGUCUUGGUACGACAAUCUGAAAUCAAGUUGCUUUUGUGUGGCUCUCUUUAAGUGUGGAUUGAUAUAAGUAUUGACCGUGUAUCCCAGGCUUCCUUGGAGUCCCAAGCUCAUCUCAGUUCAGCCACCUACCGAGUCUCACUCUGUCACCAGCUUGGAGUGCAGUGGCACGAUCUCGGCUCACUGCAACCUCUGCCUUCCGGGUUCAAGCGAUUCCCCUGCCUUAGCCUCCAGAGUAGAUGGGACUACAGACUAACCAAUAUAAUUAGCCAAUUAACAAAAAGAAAAGAAAAGAAAAGAAAAGAAAAAGAAGCCACGUGUUUUUAUUUGGAGAUGAGAGCAUCCAGUUUCACAUCACUACUGAACACAUGUUUGCUGCAGUUUACUAGAGGUCCACUUCAGACCCUCUUUGCCUGGGUAUCACCAGUGGAGGCUGCAGAACAGCCAAGAUUGCUGCCUGCUUCUUCCUCUGGAAGCUUCGUCCCAGAGGGACACCAGGCUGAUGCCAGCUGGAGCUCUCCUGUAUGAGGUGUCUGUCAGUCCCUGCUGGGAGGUCUCUCCCAGUCAGGAGGCUUGGGGGAUCAGGGACCCACUUGAGGAGGCAGUCUGUCCCUUAGCAGAGCUUGAGCACUAUGCUGGGAGAAUACUCCUUGUCAGGAUCAGCUGCUCUCUUCAGAGCCAGCAGGCAGGAAAGUUUAAGUCUGCUGAAGCUGUCCCCACAGCCGCCCCUUCCCCCAGGUGCUCUGUCCCAGGGAGAUGGGAGUUUUAUCUAUAAGCCCCUGACUGGCAUUUCUUUCAGAGAUGCCCUGCUGAGUGACGAGGAAUCCAGAGAGGCAGUCCGGCCACAGCCACUUUGCCACGCUGUGUUGAGUUCUGCCCAGUCCAAACUUCCAGGCCCCCUUAGCACUAUCAGGGGAAAACCACCUACUCAAGCCUCAGUAAUGGUGGACGCCCCUCCUCCUACCAAGCUCUAUCAUUCCAGGUUGACUUCAGACUGCUGAGCUGGCAGUGAGAAUUUCAAGCCAGUGGUUCUUAUCUUGCUGGGCACUGUGGGAGUGGGACCUGCUCGCUGAGUGAGACCACUUGGCUCCCUGGCUUCAGCCCCCUUUCCAGGGGAGUGAACGGUUCUGCCCCACUGGGGUUCCAGGAGCCACUGGGGUACAAGAAAAAAAAAAAAAAACUUCUGCAGCUAACUCAGCGUCUGCCCAAAUAACCGCCCAGUUUUGUGCUUGAAACCCAGAACCCUGGUGGUGUAGGCACACUAGGGAAUCUCCUGACCUGUGGAUUGCAAAAACCCUGGGAAAAGCGUAGUACCCAGGCCAGAUAGCACAGUCCCUCACAGCUUCCCUUUGGGUGGAGGAGGGAGGUCCCUGGCUCCUUACACUUUCCGGUGAGGUGACGCCCCACUUUGCUUCUGUUUGCCCUCUGUGGGCUGCACCCACUGCCUAACCAGUCCCAAUGAGAUGAACUGGGUACCUCAGAUAGAAAUGCAGAAAUCACCUGCCUUCUGCAUUGGUCUUGCUGGGAGCUGCAGACUGGAGCCAUCUUGCCAGAUUGAGUAAUUUCUUUCAACUUAGCUUUCUAAUCAAUUGUUAAAACAUGCAUAAUUAUUUAAAUAUUGGCAUAUGUAAAUUUGGAAGUACGGCAGUAUGGAAUAAACUAUUUUAUCCAACAUUUGAGGGAUAAUGCAUGUAAGACCAGGUGUAAUUCUCAUUUAAUUAAUAUCAGGCUCAUCAGUCUAUGCAGUUCCAUUUUCAAUAUUGACAUGUAUAAACAACAGAUGCAAAGCCUAUACACAUUCAA
rnacentral:lncRNA from 1 species